rnacentral:tRNA from 1 species
AUUGUGUAUCUAAGUUAAGAGUUGGAUUCUUACUCCAUUAAUGUGGUUUCACCUCAAUG